UGGGGAAUCUUGCACAAUGGGGGCAACCCUGAUGCAGCGACGCCGCGUGAGCGAUGAAGCCCUUCGGGGUGUAAAGCUCUUUCGGCAGGGAAGAUAAUGACGGUACCUGCAGAAUCAGCUGCGGCUAACUACGUGCCAGCAGCCGCGGUAAUACGUAGGCAGCGAGCGUUGUUCGGAGUUACUGGGCGUAAAGGGUGUGUAGGCGGUGCUCUAAGUGUGGUGUGAAAUCUCCCGGCUCAACUGGGAGGGUGCGCUACGAACUGGAGUGCUCGAGUGCGGGAUGGGAGAGUGGAAUUCCUGGUGUAGCGGUGAAAUGCGUAGAUAUCAGGAGGAACACCGGUGGUGUAGACGGCUCUCUGGACCGCAACUGACGCUGAGACACGAAAGCGUGGGUAGCAAACAGGAUUAGAUACCCUUGUAGUCCCUGAGCGGGCUGGCAAGGCGCAU
rnacentral:rRNA from 1 species